UUUUUCAAAAACAUUUCUUAUUAUUUUAUAAUAAGUAAAACCUGCUCAAUGACCUUUAAAUAGCCGCAGAAUAUCUGUGCUAAGGUAGCAUAAUCAUUUGUUUUUUAAUUAAAAACUAGAAUGAAAGGUUUAACAUUUUAUUUCUAUUUCACUAUAAAUUUUUAAACUUAUAUUAAAUGUAAAAAUACCUUUAUUAGAUAAAAAGACGACAAGACCCUAUCGAACUUUACUUUUAGUUUUGCUGGGGCAGCAAUUUAAUAAAUAUUUUAAAUUUAUUUUAACUCCAAACGACCCAAUAUAAUUGAUUAUAUGAAUAAGUUACCGUAGGGAUAACAGCGUAAUUCUUACUUAUAGCUCUUAUAAAAAUAAGAGAUUACGACCUCGAUGUUGAAUUAAUAUAACUUAUAAAUGCAACUAUUAAUAAAGUAGGUCUGUUCGACCUUUAAUAUAUUACAUGAUCUGAGUCCAAACCGGA
rnacentral:rRNA from 1 species